UCUAGUGUAUGGCCAUACCACCUUGAAUCUCAUCUGAUCUCUGAAGCUAAGCAGGGUCCAGCCUGGUUAGUACCUGGAUGGGAGAAAACACAUUUCUAACCAAGCAAUUAGAU
rnacentral:rRNA from 1 species